rnacentral:rRNA from 1 species
UACGUAGGUGGCAAGCGUUGUCCGGAUUUAUUGGGCGUAAAGCGAGCGCAGGCGGUUCUUUUAAGUCUGAUGUGAAAGCCCCCGGCUCAACCGGGGAGGGUCAUUGGAAACUGGAGAACUUGAGUGCAGAAGAGGAGAGUGGAAUUCCACGUGUAGCGGUGAAAUGCGUAGAUAUGUGGAGGAACACCAGUGGCGAAGGCGACUCUCUGGUCUGUAACUGACGCUGAGGCUCGAAAGCGUGGGGAGCAAACAGG